AUGAGUUCUGCCUGCGGCUAACCAUGCAAGUCGAGGGGUAACAGGAAAGCUUGCUUUCGCUGACGACCGGCGCACGGGUGCGUAACGCGUAUGCAACCUACCUCAUACUGGAGAAUAGCCCCUGGAAACGGGGAUUAAUACUCCAUAGUAUCAUUCUUUCGCAUGUUUGAAUGAUUAAAGAAUUUCGGUAUGAGAUGGGCAUGCGUCCCAUUAGCUAGUUGGUGAGGUAACGGCUCACCAAGGCUACGAUGGGUAGGGGGCCUGAGAGGGUGGUCCCCCACACUGGUACUGAGACACGGACCAGACUCCUACGGGAGGCAGCAGUGAGGAAUAUUGGUCAAUGGAGGCAACUCUGAACCAGCCAUGCCGCGUGAAGGAUGACGGCCCUAUGGGUUGUAAACUUCUUUUGAAUAGGAAGAAACUUAUCUACGUGUAGAUAACUGACGGUACUAUUAGAAUAAGGAUCGGCUAACUCCGUGCCAGCAGCCGCGGUAAUACGGAGGAUCCAAGCGUUAUCCGGAUUCAUUGGGUUUAAAGGGUCCGUAGGCGGAUCUUUAAGUCAGUGGUGAAAGCCGACAGCUUAACUGUCGAACUGCCAUUGAUACUGGAGAUCUUGAGUACAAAUGAAGUAGGCGGAAUGAGUCAUGUAGCGGUGAAAUGCAUAGAUAUGACUCAGAACACCGAUUGCGAAGGCAGCUUACUAACAUGUAACUGACGCUGAGGGACGAAAGCGUGGGGAGCGAACAGGAUUAGAUACCCUGGUAGUCCACGCCGUAAACGAUCAUCACUCGCUGUUGGCGAUAUACUGUCAGCGGCCAAGCGAAAGUAUUAAGUGAUGCACCUGGGGAGUACGCCGGCAACGGUGAAACUCAAAGGAAUUGACGGGGGCCCGCACAAGCGGUGGAGCAUGUGGUUUAACUCGAUGAUACGCGAGGAACCUUACCAGGGCUUAAAUGUAGUAUGACCGGUUCUAGAAAUAGGCCUUCUCUUCGGAGCAGAUUACAAGGUGCUGCAUGGUUUGUCGUCAGCUCGUGCCGUGAGUGGUUAGGUAAGUCCUGCACGAGCGCAACCCCUUAUUCUUAGUUGCCAGCGGUUCGGCGGGGACUCUAGAAGACUUGCAGGCGCAGCUGGAAGGAGGUGGGAUGACGUCAUCAUCACGCUACGUCUGGCUACCACGUGGCUACAUGUACAGAACAGAGGGCAGCUCCACCUUGC
rnacentral:rRNA from 1 species